GGCACUCGUGCGCCUACCAGACAGUGGCGGAGGACGGCGCUCGCUAGUCUCCCAGGUCGCGGUACACGGCGAGAACGGGCGGGGCGGUCUCGGCUGCGUCCGGGCGAUCCAGUGCUUAGUUCCGUCAUAUCCCUCUCCACGACCUCGGUCGAGCAUGUUCACCAGGGCCCAGAUGAUGUCUACCGUAGAAAAGCCUCAGAAAGACAGUAUCAGAGAAGGCUGGAAGAUGAAUGAGACUGAACUUCAGCAGUCAAUAAAGUCAAUAUGAAUUUUU
rnacentral:lncRNA from 1 species